GUAAAGAGGAAGAAUCAUGUCGGGUUGAGCCUUCAGAGCAGGCCGACCCGCAUGGAGUAAUACGUGUUGGGCUUAGGCCCAUUUGGCCUUCUGUCCAUUCUACUGCUACACCACAACUACACAAGACUAAGACUAGCUCCAAGGGGUUCCGUCGCGCGUGCCGUUCCCUUCGCGAUGGGAAAAAGAGGGCGACGGGAACCAAACUCCAGCCCUAACGCCUUCCCGUCACGAGCCGGGGCGGGACGGGAUAGGAGAGCCCGUGGGAACCUCUCUCCUAUCCCAUCACGGUUUCGCCAAGCGGGGCGGGGGCUGGCGGUUGCGCUUGGGCGGAAGAGGCAGAAGACGCCACCUCUCAGCUUUAGCCGCCACCUCCUCUCCUCACUUUCCUGCCCAGAGCACGAACCUCAUCGGCUGGAUUCCUCUCCUAUCUCUUUGUUUCCCAUUAGCUGAGCCAUCCUCUCGAGUUCCUUCUGUUGCUAGCACUAUGGGGUAAUAAUUUUGUGGGAUUCGAUUCGGGGAACGGAGAGGAGAAGCCAGAUCGAUUUGUAGAAGGACAGAUCGAGGUGGGAGAACAGCUGAUCGAGUUGGGACAGGGCGAUAUGAGUUCAAAGAACAGCCGAUUGAGACCUAAUUCUGUUCAGAUAUAAGAACUUGUGUUCUCAGGAAGGAGCAGAAACUGUGAUUUAGUUCAAUAAGUGUAGCAAUCGAUUGUAUUUUUUUCCCUGAUGUGUUAGGUAUUCAUCGAUCAUGUAUUAUCCAUUUUGCUACUUAGGCGUUGUUUCUUGAUUGUUCAUCUAUUUUAGAAAUGCACAUGUUCAGACAAGUUCAGAGAUGCACAUUGUUCAUUUAUAAUUUUUGCUACUUUGAUGACUCUCCAGUAGAAAGUUCAGAAUGUUCAGAAUUUCAGUUAUUUCAUAAUAAUGAUUUCAUCGUUUGAUUUGUUAAACCUUGUCUGACAAGCAUGUUGCUGUACGAAGUAACUAGAUUUGUGUGUAUGAUACUUUUGACAACAGAUGCAAAUUUUUGCAUGUGCUUUGCGUGUGAUGAACUAAUAGUGGACGCUUUGACAACAGAUAGAAAGCAAACUGGGAUUGCUAUUUUGCAGGGUACCACGCUUGCAGAGAAACUAGUGGAGGAUGAGAGCCAGAUGGAUUCUUAGUUGUCCCCUUGUCUUUUGCAUCUCAAUGCGACUGGCUCCACAAAAUCACAAAAAGUUUUCCAUCUCAGAGCACACUAUAAUAGAUUAAUUGGCUUCUGAUUGCUACGUCUUUCAGCUUUGAUUAUCUACCCUGAGCCCAUAUUGUUGCUUACAGCCGGCUUUUACUUUCAUUACAUUUUUUAAGCUCCCAGAAUUAGGACUAUUUAUUUGUUUCUUUCCAGUUUCCACCCCUGUAUAAGUUUACAUCAUAUCGUAAAUUAGUAAUACUCUUUGAUCUCAGCUAAUUUGUUGGUACUGUGUUUCAGGCAUAUACUGUACAAGUUCAGCCGCUGAAGCCUUGGCUUGACCAGUGCAGAGGAAUCCCAGGUUGAGUACUUUCGAGAAGCAGCUCUCAAGAAAGAGUUUAGGUUUUGCGCAAUCUCGUGUGGAAUCUCUGUUGUUUUUAUAGUCGAACUUUUUGGGAAAUAUUUUGUAGGAUGAAUUAGUGCAGCAUCAACAAAGAAGCCAUCUAGCUGCCGUGUAUAUGUUCAAAAGCCAAAAGGCGAUAUAUACAAAGUUUUAAAUCUUCUGAGUA